CCUACGGGAGGCAGCAGUGGGGAAUAUUGCGCAAUGGGCGAAAGCCUGACGCAGCGACGCCGCGUGAGGGAUGAAGGUCUUCGGAUCGUAAACCUCUGUCAGCAGGGAAGAACGGUCACUGUGCUAAUCAGCAGUGAAUUGACGGUACCUGCAAAGGAAGCACCGGCUAACUCCGUGCCAGCAGCCGCGGUAAUACGGAGGGUGCGAGCGUUAAUCGGAAUUACUGGGCGUAAAGCGCUCGUAGGCGGUAUGUCAAGUCUAGGGGGAAAUCCACGCGCUCAACGUGGGAACUGCCUUUGAAACUGGCAGACUGGAGUGUGUGAGAGGAUAGUGGAAUGCCAGGUGUAGGAGUGAAAUGCGUAGAUAUCUGGCGGAACAUCAGUGGCGAAGGCGACUAACUGGCACAUAACUGACGCUGAGGAGCGAAAGCGUGGGUAGCAAACAGGAUUAGAUACCCUGGUAGUC
rnacentral:rRNA from 1 species